AAAAGAUGUGGAAGUUGAAGAUUGCAAAAGGACAAGAUGAUCGAUACUUGUAUAGUACAAAUAACUAUAUUGGACGACAAAUAUGGGAGUUCGAUCCAAAUGCUGGAACAAUAGAAGAACAAGCCAAAAUCGAAGAGGCACGUCAACAUUAUUGGAACAAUCGUUACAAAGUUAAGCCUAAUAGUGAUCUUCUUUGGAGAAUGCAGUUUUUGAGAGAGAAGAAUUUCAAACAGAGAAUUAGAGCAGUAAAAGUAGAAGAAGGAGAAGAAAUUAGCCAUGAAAUUGCUACAGUUGCAUUGCGUAGAGCUGUUCAUUUCUUCUCAGCUUUACAGGCUACUGAUGGACAUUGGCCUGCUGAAAGUGCUGGUCCUCUCUUCUUUCUUCCACCUCUCGUUAUGUGUAUGUAUAUCACUGGGCAUCUUAAUACUGUAUUUCCAGCUGAACAUCGGAAGGAAAUUCUUCGUUAUAUAUACUGUCACCAGAAUGAAGAUGGUGGAUGGGGUUUGCACAUAGAAGGUCACAGUACUAUGUUCUGUACAGCUAUGAGUUACAUUUGCAUGAGGAUCCUUGGAGAAGGACCAGAAGGCGGUGUUAAUAAUGCGUGUGCUAGAGCAAGGAAAUGGAUUCUUGAUCAUGGUAGUGUCACCGCAAUUCCUUCGUGGGGAAAAACAUGGCUCUCGAUUCUUGGAGUUUUUGAAUGGAUAGGAACCAAUCCAAUGCCACCUGAGUUUUGGAUUCUUCCAUCUUUUCUUCCCGUGCAUCCAGCAAAAAUGUGGUGUUACUGCCGAACGGUCUACAUGCCAAUGUCUUAUCUCUAUGGGAAGAGAUUUGUUGGUCCAAUCACACCUCUU
rnacentral:misc_RNA from 1 species